GACGCCUCUCGCCGGAGGGAGCAGGGACCCGCAGCUGGAGCGGGGGCGCACGGGGCGCCGGCCCCGGGGUCGCCGCCGUCGCCGCAGGGACGCGCGCCCGCACCCUCCGGCUCCCCUAAGCCGCAUAGCCCGGCCCUCAGCCUGAGCGGACGAAAAUUAAACCCCAACUUCCACACAUCACAUUGGAAAAGAGGUUGUCUUAUGAGGCGAAGAAGACAGUCUUUCCCCUUCAUUGCUCAGCAAGAACCAGGAUGAGGUUGAGCAAAGACAGCAGCAGCAGGUGGCACUUCCCCACCUCCAUCCCAUGUGGGUCCCUGCCUAAAAGAAAUGACUGAGUCCAGAUUGCCUCCUUCCUGAAUGAGCAGAGAGACAAGCGCUUCCACAAGAAGCCCUUGCAGAGAGUGUGGUCAAAGUCAAAUUGGCCUCUGUGUCGGCCACCUGCAAAUGGUAAAAGGACCAAGAUGCCUUGGGAGAGAAAAUGUCAAGAGAGUUGUAUGUAAAUACCAUAACAAUUGCUUGAUCUUAAACAAAUUGCUCGUCCUUCUGAGUUUCUGGGCCCACUCACCUCUAAACUGGGAUCAGAUAACUACCUCAUGGGAUAAGCUAAGGGUACGAACUGCCUGAAAACGGCCCCUCUCUCCUUCAACCAGGCUGAGGCAGGUGGUAGGAACGAAUAUGUUGCCUUCCUCGAGCCCACCUCAAGGCAGAAAUAAGGAAUUCCUGGACAACCCGACUUAGAACAACAAACUAGAGAGUGUUUGUGUGGGAGGUGACAGCAAAAGCUUGCAAACUCCUUGCGCCCUUCUUGGGUUUCUUUGUGUGUUGUUCUCCCCUGCUUCCUGCUCACCCAGCGGUGCCAGGCCCGGGAGGACUGAGGGAGGAGUAGACGGCCUCGCCCCUUUCUGCAGCCUGGGAGGAGCCGGCAGGCGGCUCUGCAGCCCAGGGCCGCAGCCCACCUCCACCGCCAGGGGUCAGCAGAGUGUCGUGAUUGCAGCCCGAGUUGAGGAGGGGGCCAGAGAAAGGAGGGGGCAACCAGGAGAGGUCGCGGGAAUGCAUCAUUAAAUCGUUUUCAGAACC
rnacentral:lncRNA from 1 species